GGUGGCUCAGUGGUAGAGUGCUUGCCUUGAAUGCAUAAGGCCCUGGGUUCGAUUCCUGAGCACCA
rnacentral:tRNA from 1 species